UACGUAGGUGGCAAGCGUUGUCCGGAUUUACUGGGCGUAAAGAGCGCGCAGGCGGUCGUUCAAGUCGCGUGUGAAAGCCCCCGGCUCAACUGGGGAGGGUCACGCGAUACUGAUCGACUCGAAGGCAGGAGAGGGUAGUGGAAUUCCCGGUGUAGUGGUGAAAUGCGCAGAUAUCGGGAAGAACACCUAUGGCGAAGGCAGCUCUCUGGGACGGUACUGACGCUGAGACGCGAAAGCGUGGGGAGCGAACAGG
rnacentral:rRNA from 1 species